rnacentral:rRNA from 1 species
GACGAACGCUGGCGGCGUGCUUAACACAUGCAAGUCGAACGGAAAGGCCCUGCUUUUGUGGGGUGCUCGAGUGGCGAACGGGUGAGUAACACGUGAGUAACCUGCCCUUGACUUUGGGAUAACUUCAGGAAACUGGGGCUAAUACCGGAUAGGAGCUCAUGCUGCAUGGUGGGGGUUGGAAAGUUUCGGCGGUUGGGGAUGGACUCGCGGCUUAUCAGCUUGUUGGUGGGGUAGUGGCUUACCAAGGCUUUGACGGGUAGCCGGCCUGAGAGGGUGACCGGCCACAUUGGGACUGAGAUACGGCCCAGACUCCUACGGGAGGCAGCAGUGGGGAAUAUUGCACAAUGGGCGGAAGCCUGAUGCAGCAACGCCGCGUGCGGGAUGACGGCCUUCGGGUUGUAAACCGCUUUCGCCUGUGACGAAGCGUGAGUGAUGGUAAUGGGUAAAGAAGCACCGGCUAACUACGUG